rnacentral:tRNA from 1 species
CACAUUAUAAUUUAUUCAAAAUAUAAAAUUGCAAAUUUUAAUAAACUUAAAUUAAGUUAAUGUGU